CUCAGGACGAACGCUGGCGGCGUGCCUAAUACAUGCAAGUAGAACGCUGAAGAGAGGAGCUUGCUCUUCUUGGAUGAGUUGCGAACGGGUGAGUAACGCGUAGGUAACCUGCCUUGUAGCGGGGGAUAACUAUUGGAAACGAUAGCUAAUACCGCAUAACAAUGGAUGACACAUGUCAUUUAUUUGAAAGGGGCAAUUGCUCCACUACAAGAUGGACCUGCGUUGUAUUAGCUAGUAGGUGAGGUAAUGGCUCACCUAGGCGACGAUACAUAGCCGACCUGAGAGGGUGAUCGGCCACACUGGGACUGAGACACGGCCCAGACUCCUACGGGAGGCAGCAGUAGGGAAUCUUCGGCAAUGGGGGCAACCCUGACCGAGCAACGCCGCGUGAGUGAAGAAGGUUUUCGGAUCGUAAAGCUCUGUUGUAAGUCAAGAACGGGUGUGAGAGUGGAAAGUUCACACUGUGACGGUAGCUUACCAGAAAGGGACGGCUAACUACGUGCCAGCAGCCGCGGUAAUACGUAGGUCCCGAGCGUUGUCCGGAUUUAUUGGGCGUAAAGCGAGCGCAGGCGGUUUGAUAAGUCUGAAGUUAAAGGCUGUGGCUCAACCAUAGUUCGC
rnacentral:rRNA from 1 species